AGUGAACGCUGGCGGCAGGCCUAACACAUGCAAGUCGAACGGCAGCACAGUAAGAGCUUGCUCUUACGGGUGGCGAGUGGCGGACGGGUGAGGAAUACAUCGGAAUCUUCUUUUUCGUGGGGGAUAACGUAGGGAAACUUACGCUAAUACCGCAUACAACCCACGGGUGAAAGCAGGGGAUCUUCGGACCUUUCGCGAUAGAAUGAGCCGAUGUCGGAUUAGCUAGUGGGCGGGGUAAAGGCCCACCAAGGCGACGAUCCGUAGCUGGUCUGAGAGGAUGAUCCGCCACACUGGAACUGAGAAACGGUCCAGACACCUACGGGAGGCAGCAGUGGGGAAUAUUGGGCAAUGGGCGCAAGCCUGAUCCAGCCAUACCGCGUGAGUGAAGAAGGCCUUCGGGUUGUAAAGCCCUUUUGUUGGGAAAGAAAAGCAGUAGGUUAAUCGCCCGCUGUUCUGACGGUACCCAAAGAAGAAGCACCGGCUAACUUCGUG
rnacentral:rRNA from 1 species